rnacentral:rRNA from 1 species
AUUGAACGCUGGCGGCAGGCUUAACACAUGCAAGUCGAGCGGAGAUGAGGUGCUUGCACCUUAUCUUAGCGGCGGACGGGUGAGUAAUGCUUAGGAAUCUGCCUAUUAGUGGGGGACAACAUUCCGAAAGGAAUGCUAAUACCGCAUACGUCCUACGAGAGAAAGCAGGGGAGCUUCGGACCUUGCGCGAAUAGAUGAGCCUAGGUCGGAGUAGCUAGUUGGGGGGGUAUAGGCCUACCAAGGCGACGAUCUGUAGCGGGUCUGAGAGGAUGAUCCGCCACACUGGGACUGAGACACGGCCCAGACUCCUACGGGAGGCAGCAGUGGGGAAUAUUGGACAAUGGGGGAAACCCUGAUCCAGCCAUGCCGCGUGUGUGAAGAAGGCCUUAUGGUUGUAAAGCACUUUAAGCGAGGAGGAGGCUACUGAGACUAAUACUCUUGGAUAGUGGACGUUACUCGCAGAAUAAGCACCGGCUAACUCUGUGCCAGCCGCCGCAGUAA